rnacentral:rRNA from 1 species
UGGGGAAUAUUGGACAAUGGGCGAAAGCCUGAUCCAGCCAUGCCGCGUGUGUGAAGAAGGUCUUCGGAUUGUAAAGCACUUUAAGUUGGGAGGAAGGGCAGUAAGCGAAUACCUUGCUGUUUUGACGUUACCGACAGAAUAAGCACCGGCUAACUCUGUGCCAGCAGCCGCGUUAAUACAGAGGGUGCAAGCGUUAAUCGGAAUUACUGGGCGUAAAGCGCGCGUAGGUGGUUCGUUAAGUUGAAUGUGAAAGCCCCGGGCGCAACCUGGGAACUGCAUCCGAAACUGGCGAGAUAGAGUAGGGCAGAGGGUGGUGGAAGUUCCUGUGUAGCGGUGAAAAGCGUAGAUAUAGGAAGGAACACCAGUGGCGAAGGCGACCACCUGGGCUCAUACUGACACUGAGGUGCGAAAGCGUGGGGAGCAAACAGG